UACGUAGGCAGCAAGCGUUGUUCGGAAUUACUGGGCGUAAAGAGUGUGUAGGCGGUGCUCUAAGUCUGUUGUGAAAUCUCCCGGCUUAACCGGGAGGGUGCGGCGGAAACUGGAGUGCUUGAGGGUGGGAGAGGUAAGCGGAAUUCCUGGUGUAGCGGUGAAAUGCGCAGAUAUCAGGAGGAACACCGGUGGCGAAGGCGGAUCUCUGGGCCAUUACUGACGCUGAGGAGCGAAAGCGUGGGGAGCGAACAGG
rnacentral:rRNA from 1 species